rnacentral:rRNA from 1 species
CUGAAGGGACGUUGAAGACUACGACGUUGAUAGGCCGGGUGUGUAAGCGCAGCGAUGCGUUGAGCUAACCGGUACUAAUGACCCGUGAGGCUUAACCUUACAACACCAGAAGCGUUCUG